AGGAGCAACAGCCCUAGUGGCGGGGCCAGCUCUGGAAACCUGGAUUCAGCCCCCGCAGGAACUCCGUCGCUCUCGGUCUGCAGGGCCUGGAGGCUCCAGGGCGGG
rnacentral:pre_miRNA from 1 species